rnacentral:rRNA from 1 species
GCCUGCCCAAUGGUUGUAUCUAAAAACGGUUGAUAAAAGUCGACUUUAUAAGGACAAUUGAAUGGCCGCGGUAACACUGACCGUGAUAAUGUAGCGUAAUCAAUAGCCAAUUAAUUGUUGGCCAGUAUGAAUGGCGUCACGAAGGCCCCACUGUCUUAAGAGAAUUCCCAGUGAAAUUGAAUUCGUAGUGAAGAUGCUACGUCCAAUUUGUUAGACGAAAAGACCCCAUUGAGCUUUACUGGAGACUUACAUUGCUCGGAUCGACUCUCGCCCCCAGGGGGGGGGUCGAAUUUAAAUGGAUAGCUUAGAUUAUGUGGUGUCAUAACCAUCGAUCAAGUAGUCCCUACGGGAUUGCCCCGAAGGUAGACCUGUUUGGGUGAAUGAAACCCCACUCUUUUAUGUUAAAUGAGCUAACCCUUUCUCUCUUAAGGGGGACAAUGUAAGUUGGACAGUUUGGUUGGGGCGACCGCCUUUUAAAGAGUAACGAAGGUGUGCUUAAGGUACACAAUUAAUAUCAGUAGCCUGACUGCGAGGGGGAUUCCCCCGAGCAGACACCUAAAGUCUUCUCUCUUCCUCCCCGAAGGUUAAAGACGAAUGGUGGGUUAUAGUGACCCGUUAAUUUAGAGUGGAAUAG